AUGCAUCUCUCAUACCUGCCUUUCCUCUCGUACUCUUUUUGCCUCUCCGUUUAUCCCCUCGCGCUUGCCAAAGAACAAAAGGAACAUGGCAUGUGUACAAUUUGCAAUCUUCCAUCCAUACACACCAAACCCCAUCCAUCCACCGAGGAAGAAACCAUCAUCAACCCGAAAAGGACAGAAAAACUUGGGAGACACAGCUCAAGCUCAAGCCUUCUACACUGUUACUACCUCUCUACUAAUCUAAGCUGCUGGCAGGCAUUAUAUGUUAGUGCAGUACAGUACAGGGGGGUGGUUCUUGUAGUCAUUCUCUUGGUGGUACCAGAGCUUUGCUCCAGUGAUCUCCGCCCUGGAUAUGACAAAGCAAAGCAGCACACACCAUGA
rnacentral:rRNA from 1 species